UUGUGUUUAUUUCCCUCUGCGUGUCCCAGACUGCAAUACGAACUUCUAGAACAAUAUUCUGGGCAUGAUGCCAUCCACUUCCUGUCGAAGCUGGACUGGUCCAAACAGAGCGUACAGGAAAGCUUCCAGAAGGAUGUGGAAGAAGCCAAAAUCACAAAUAUCUGUCGCGAUAGUGGAAAACACAUAUCGUUCAAUCUGAGCGUGACGGACAAGCCAGCCAUCACCAGCUAUCGCAACGUUACAGAUACGUGCAAGAACUAAUGAAGUGAAGGAACAGCAUACACAUACAUGAAGAGGAGCCCGAGAACUUUAAAACGUUUUUGAAAAAGAUAAAUAAA